rnacentral:rRNA from 1 species
GACGAACGCUGGCGGCGUGCCUAACACAUGCAAGUCGAACGGAGUUGAAAGGAGCUUGCUUUUUUCAACUCAGUGGCGGACGGGUGAGUAACGCGUGAGUAACCUGCCUUUCAGAGGGGGAUAACGUUCUGAAAAGAACGCUAAUACCGCAUAAGAUUGUAGCUUCGCAUGGAGCAGCAAUCAAAGGAGCAAUCCGCUGAAAGAUGGACUCGCGUCCGAUUAGAUAGUUGGCGGGGUAACGGCCCACCAAGUCGACGAUCGGUAGCCGGACUGAGAGGUUGAUCGGCCACAUUGGGACUGAGACACGGCCCAGACUCCUACGGGAGGCAGCAGUGAGGGAUAUUGGGCAAUGGGGGAAACCCUGACCCAGCAACGCCGCGUGAGGGAUGACGGUUUUCGGAUUGUAAACCUCU